GCAUCCUGUGUGGGCAGAAAAGGUCUUUGGUCUAUAUCUUCCUGUCACUUUCCCCUGUUCCAGUCUCCAAUGUUGCCAUAAUACCAAGUCUAAAUGAAGUUGAACUCAUCAGCACUGUGAGUUUUGUCUGCUCUGCAUCCGGCUCCUCUCUUUCAUUUAUUUGGCUGAAUGGCAGCUCUGAGGUAACAGCAGGGGAGCGAGUUCAGCUAACAGACAACAACAGAAAUUUGACCAUUACCAGUGUGAUCAGAGGUGACACAGGCCCAUAAGAGUGUGAAGCAUACAACAGCAUCAGCAGAACAAAGAGUCUCCCAUUCAGCCUCACCAUUAAAAUUAAUGGCCAAGAACAAACUCCAGAAGAAAUAACCAGAGUGAAAGUUUGUGUGAAGAUCUUCAGUCAUUGAUAGACAUUUGCUCAGUCUUAAAGACCAGACAUUUAGCUGAUGGCAUUGUUAUGAGAUUGAUUAUG